CUCGUCCUGUUCUCUAUUUGAAUAUGCCUGACCACUAGCUUACAAGAAGUCAUCACUUUGUUCCAACCUUGGUAAAGCUCGUCCUGUUCUCUAUUUGUUCAUUUGUUUGCUAUUGUUAAGGUAUAACCUUUGGACGGGUAUACAUUUUGAGUUCUCUCCAGUCUCUCCUCUCCCAACGGUCCUUUCAGAAUUUGGAUCAUCUCUGCAACGGCUCUUUGGGUUUGGAACUUGAAAUCUCCCGCACCCUAAAAGGCUUUAUUUGUUAUUUAUGUAAUACUGUUGGAAAAACGCGGACUAACACAAAAAUAUAUAUGGUCAAAAUAAUAGAAAUAAAAUGGGAAAAUAAUGACACGAAGAAUUUUACGUGGAAACCCUUUUAAAUAAGGGUAGUCACUAUAGUAAGGAAUUUUACAUUGUGUAGUAACGAAUACAAUACUCAAAGUGACUACUACACACUCAAAAGGAAUGACACUCUUUUGAUUUCCACCUUACUAAAAUAUCGUUCACACUCUUUCUCUUCACAGAUUAUUUUUCUUAUAUAGUCUAUGGAAUAUCUCACUUUGCUCUCAAAUAUUUUUUUCUCUCUCUAACUUGGUGUAUUUGAAAUGAGCAAGGACAAAACACAUCGACGUUAGAUAUCAUUGGAUUCGUGAGGAAGUGGAGAGUGAAUCAUUUCACGUCAAAAAGAUCCACACAUGUGAAAAUCCUGCAGAUAUGCCGGCCAAGACAAUAUCGAAAGACAAGUUAGAGUUAUGCAAAGAACUUGUCUGUAUGAGCUCUCUCUAAAGAAAAUGAAGAUGUUUUCUUCUGUUGAAUGGGUUUGGAGGGGGAGAUUUGUAGGGUCCAUACCCAUUAUAGAUAAACAUAAGGAAAGAUGAAAUGCAGGAAAGGUUGAAAUGUUUGUUGCAACAGUUGUUGACUUUAACAAUAUAAGCAACAAACAUUUCAACCUUUGCUGCAUUUCAACUUUCCUUAUGUUUAUCUAUAAUGGGUAUGGACCGUACAAAUCUCCCCCCUCUAGACCCAUUCACCGGAAGAAGACCAUCUUCAUUUUCUUUAGAGAGAGCUCAUACUGACAAGUUCUUUGCAUAACUCUAACUUGUCUUUCGGUAUUGUCUUGGUUAGCAUAUUUGCAGGAUUUUCACUUGUGGAUUUUUUUGACGUGAUAUGAUUCACUCUCUACUUCCUCACGAAUCCAAUGAUAUCUGACGUUGAUGUGUUUUGUCCUUGCAUGGUACAUGGAGUUCUUGCUCAAGUCUAUUGCACUCUGACUAUCAUAAUAGACAACAUACUCUUAUCUGUUGCAAUCCAAGUUCUUGAAGAAAUCGCUUUAGCCAUAUCAUCUCUUUACCAGCUUCAGUAGCCGCAAUAUACUCAACUUCAGUUGUAGAUAGUGCAACACACUUCUGCAACUUUGACUGCCAUGAUAUAGCUCCCCUUGAAAAAAUAAACAAAUAUCCAGUUGUGGAUUUUGUGUUAUCAAGGUCACCUGUCAUAUCAGCAUUUGUAUAGUGCAACACACUUCUGCAACUUUGACUACCAUGAUAUGCUCUUUUCCCAGAUUGUUGAGAAAUCUGCGGACAACACCAACUGCAUGAGCAAUAUCAGGUCUAGUGCAUACCAUUGGAUACAUUAGACUUUCGACGUCGGAGGAAUAUGGAACUUUGGCCAUGCUCUCUUUUUCCUCCCUAGCUGUAGGACACAUCUUCUUGCUCAAUUUCAUAUGACCAGCAAGAGGUGUACCAUGCUUAGCAUUCUUCAUACUGAAGCGCUCUAGUACACGUUCAAUGUACUUCUUCUACGAGACCAGUAAUUCUCAUGCCCAAAAUUUGCUUUGCAUGACCCAAGUCUUUCAUAGCAAAAGACUUGCACAACUCUUUCUUUAAUUCAUCAAUCUUGGAAAUAUUCUUGCCCACAAUCAACAUACCAUCCACAUACAGCAAGAGGAUAAUAAAAUCAUCGUCAGAAUUUUUUUAUACAAAUACAUAAUGAUCUGAUGAAGUCUUCGUCUAGGAGCUUGCUUUAGGCCAUAGAGACUCUUUCUGAGUUUGCACAAAAUAAUUUUUUUACCUUCUAUUCUACUUUGAGAGUAGAAGCCCUCAGGUUGUUCUAUAUAAAUCUCUUAUUCUAGGUCACCGUGAAGGAAAGUCGUCUUCACAUCCAUAUGCUCAAUCUCUAAAUUAAGACUAGCAGCCAAACCUAGAACCGUACGAAUGGAGGACAUUUUCACGACAGGAGAAAAUAUUUCGUCAAAGUCAAUACUCUUCCUUUGACCAAAUCCCUUAACAACCAAUUUAGCUUUGUACCUGGGCUUCAAGUUAUGUUCUUCUACUUUAAUUUUGAACACCCAUUUGUUCUUCAAAGCUCUCAUGCCCUUGGGCAAUUUUACCAACUCAUAAGUGUGGUUCUCAUGCAGAGACUUCAUCUCAUCUUGCAUGACUUCAAUCUAUUGAUCCUUGUGCUCAUCUUCCAUGGCCUCCUCAUAACAUUCAGGUUCUCCCCCGUCAGUGAGUAACACAUACUCAUUGGGUGAAUAACGAGAGGAAGAAACUCGUUGUCUUGUGGACCUCCUAAGCGGGAUAUUUGAUUCGUCCACAACUUCAUGAGCAGAAGGAUCAUCAAUAACAUCAUUGUUAUUGUCAACAUCAACGUGUUGAUCCGAGGCAUGAUUAUGGGCGUCACCAUGAUCAUCAAGCCCAACAACAUCAUGCAUACUUGUGUGAGGAACUUCAUCAAGAUGAAUUAUGCCAUCAAAACCUGAAGAUUCUAGCUUCUUCGUUUUGUCAAUAUCUUCAAUUGUUUGAUUCUCCAUGAAAAUAAUAUCACGGCUUCUCACGAGUUUCUUCUCAAUUGGAUCAUAUAGCCUAUAACCAAAUUCAUCAAGGCCAUAUCCAAUGAAGAUGCACCGUCUUGUCUUGGCAUCUAACUUUGACCUCUCAUCUUUCGGCACAUGUACAAAAGCUUUGCAACCAAAUACUCUCAAAUUAUCAUAGGAAACAUCCUUUCCAUACCAAACUCUAUUUGGAACAUCACUUUGCAAAGCAACAGUAGGAGAUAGAUUAAUAACAUGUGCAGCGGUCAAUAAAGCCUUACCCCAAAAUGAUUUCGGCAACUUUGCUUCAGAAAGCAAACAUCUAACUCUUUCCAUCAAGGUCCUGUUCAUCCUCUCAGCCAAACAUUAAGCUGAGGAGUCUUAGGAGGAGUCUUCUAUGUCUAAUACCUUGAUGCUUGCAGUAUUCGUCAAAUGGUCCACAAUAUUCACCACCAUUAUCAAUACGAAUACAUUUCAGUUUCUUUCCUUUCCAGUUUCUCUUUCAACUGAAGCCUGAAACUGCUUGAAGACACCUAACACAAUAUUCACCACCAUUAUCAGUACAAAUACAUUUCAGUUUCUUUCCUUUCCAGUUUCUCUUUCAACUAAAGCCUGAAACUGCUUGAAGACACCUAACACUUGGUCUUUAGUCUUCAAGACAUAGACCCAAAGUUUUCUCGAGCAGUCAUCAAUAAAAGUGACAAAGUAGUGUGCACCACCAAAUGUCAUUUUCUUCAUUGGACCUCAUAAAUCAGAGUGCACCAACUCAAGCAACUAUGUCUUUCUCGAAGGAAGAUUAGACUUGAAGGAACCUCUAUUUUGUUUACCAGCCAAACAGUUCACACUUUUCUAAUUUUGCACUUUGGAAAUUUGACAAUAAUUUCUUCUUGGCUGGAACAUUAAGUCGUUUCACGCUGAUGUGGCUAAGCCUCUUGUGCAAUAACGUUGAAGAGUUAUCGCUCUCAACCGCAUUCACCAUAUCAACAUAAGUAGAAGUUGUAGUCCAGUAUAGACCACGACAUUUGUUGCCAUGAACCACAACCAAGGAACCCUUAAUAAGUGUAGCGACCCUAAAAAUGAAAUCGCGAAACUAGAGCCUCGUGUGUUGGUAUUUAGUUGGUAAUCUUGUAUAAAUGCUUAAAUAUGGUGUUAGAGGUCAGUUUGAUUGUGUUGGAGGUCAAACGUCAAGAGACGUCCGGAAACUAGUCUUUUGGUGCUAGUGUGUUCUAGUGUGUUGUCAUUGAUAUUGAUGUGUCGUUUUGAAGGUGAAAUCAUAAGGAGGUGGUUCCAAUGUGUAAUUGGACAUGUGUAGGGGGUAAACGUCCGGGUACGACUCCCCAAGGACCACCCUAAGGGUUCUUGAGGAGGACCUAAGUUCAACCCCCAAGGCUGCCCCAAAUGAAAUGAUUCGACCUACGGAUGGGGUUCACGCCCCGUAGGUCCAUCCACGGUUCGUGGAUGGCCUCCGUAACUCCAUUUGGCUCCCCCACAGUACCAAACCACGGAUGCACAACACGGGGCCGUUAAUCCAUCCACGGUCCGUAGAUGGUGGCCGUGGUUUGGCACCUGUGUUGCUGUCAUUUAAGUCGGCCAUGGUACCAAUUCACCCCAAGUCUUUUAAAGUGUGGGGUCGGUUGUUUUAACUUAUUUUUGGUAUUUUAAAAGGUAUUUUUGAAUUCAUUCUUCAAGUUAAAACUCCCAAAGACUUUCUCUCUCUAGAGUUUUCUCAAGUUCAAGGAAGAAGAAGGUGGAGAGCUAGGGUUUCAAAUUGAGGGUUUCCUUCCACCAAAUUUUGUUGGGAUUUCUUCAAGUGAGGUAUGGUGUCUCUUCAUCUAGGACUCAUCUUCAUCCUAGAGUCAAUUUCAAAGGAUUUUACAAUGUUUUCAAAAAGUGACUAAAAGCUUGUUUUUGAAUUCUAUCAAGGGCUCUUGUAUGAAAAUGAUUUGAAACGUUUGGGUAUGGAUUAAUUGAUGUGUUUGUGGUUUUUGAAUGAAAUACUCCAUGAACCCUUGUCUUUUACAAAACCCUAAAAUUUGCUAUGAAGUGCGUCUUUUUCUAUAAAUUCAAAGUUGAUGGAAUUAUGUGUAAAGUGAAUUGUAUUGAUAUCUCUUGGGUUGUUUAAUGUUUAUUCAUGAUUAAUUGUUGAUAAUUGGUGAAUUAAGGGUGGUAAGCCUUAUGAGUGAAGUAUUGGUGAUUGCUUUGGAUUUUGGUGAUUUUGGUUAUGGCUUUGGAUUAUGGUAAGAAAGCUUGAACUCUCUUUAUUGAAUUGAUUGUUGUUGGUAGGUUGAAUCCACCUUUGGUGGAAGUGUUAUAUCUUAUUCUUGUGUGGUAUUAUUGUGAAUUGUAGCCAUGAAGGCAUUGGUGAAGUUGUUGUAUAAUGUUGGAAUAUUGUAUUAUUGUGAAUUGAGGCCAUGAAGGGCAUUAUAUGAGUGUUACUAUAUUAUUAUAUUAUUAUACAUAUAUGAGGCUAUAUGUAAAGUCCUAUAUGAAGCUAUAUGUAAAGUUUGUGUGAAGCUAUAAUGUGAAGAUGUUCUAAUGGUAUUAAUGUGAUAUUGUAUAAAAGUGUUAUUAUGCUAUAAUGUGAAAGCGUGUUUCUCUUGAAAUGGUGAUAUGUGGUGAUGAUGGACUAUGAUGAGUCUUUAUAAGAUGAUGUUGUAGCUCAUACGCUAGACUUGAGUAUCUUGUCUUGUGUCAUGAAAGCUUGACUAUAUAUAUGAAUGUUUGGUUGGGCUAUGACUUAGUAAUGGAGAUCUUCCUAUGAAUGCUAAAAGAGGAAUUCUAGGCCAAGACUUGAAUGGUAGACUUAAGCAUAGUGCCUUUUUCAUGAGUCUAGCUUUCCUAAGUAAAUGUAUAACCUUGAAGGAUGGGCUUUAGGGUGAUGUUCCCAUCUUGACUGAAAUAAUAGACUUAGAGAUGGAUGGAGCCGGAACGGCAUGAGAAUCCUUAUCUAAGAAAGUCAAAUGAGCUAUCCUUAUGACCUAAAUUGGCUAUGACUAGAAAUGGGGACCUUUUCUUGGGAAGAGGUACUAUGAGUUAGUUGAACUAGAAAAGGAACCCUCUCUAGUACAUAUGUGAUUGAAUACUCUAUGGAAACCAAGGCUAAGCACCGAGUGGAUGUGGUUAGGAUGGUGGCCUAGUUGAGCAUGAGAUUAGGCACAAUGAACAUCCUUGGACAUCUCUUAUCUAAGAAAGUCAAAUGAGCUAUCUUUUAGUUUAACCCUUGGCAAGUAGAACAACCUCCACGGAGUAGGAUAGACUCCGGAUUCCAUACCUUGCUAGUGUGGUCUAUGUCGGUUAAGACCUAUUUCCAUCAUAUGGGAAUAGGUUCUACAACGUGUAGGUAGUAGUAUGGGAUGCUAUUUACACAUGGCACGAGUAGGCUUAGAAGAUGCUAAAGUGAGUUCCCUAAGCCUUAGGGCUAUUAUGUGAUUGUCCCAUAUAUGCUUGUGUGUGUCUCUUAAAUGGUUUUAUAAAGAAUGUUGACUCAGUAUGUUAUAAUGUAAUGAUAAAACCCUUGUCUAUGGUAACUCUUAGGAACACUUAGGUGUAUAUGAAGAGGUUUCAUGGGCGGUCACUUCAUUAUUCACUUAAGUGUGGCUUAGGGUGACUUGAGAUAGAGGCUUAAAUGGUAAUGAAGGACUUACUUUGCUACCUUGAUUAAGUAUGGUACACUUGUGUUAAUUGGGUUGUAAAUGAUGUGAAUAUGGUCUUAUUUGUGAAUGGUGACUUGAAAUGUGGGUUUAUGCUUGUGGUUGUAAAGGUUUGUUAAAGGUCUUAAAAGCAUACAUUCCUUGUAAAUGUCCGUUGUGCAUGUUUUCUUGCAUGGUCGUCAUACUUAGUACUUAUUGUACUAAUUCCAUAUUUCUCUAUUGUUACAAGUGUAGGUGGUGGAAAGUGAAGAGAUUUUUUGAGGAAGCUUGGGAUAUUGACUAUUUCUCAAGAAGUUUGGUAUGUCCUCAUAUAUUCGAGGACAUAGUUGAACCCUUUCUAGUAUUUCCACUGUGUAUAAGAUGGUACAUGAGACUUAGAAAUUCUACUUCUUUACAUUUGAAAGAUUUUGUAAUAAAAAGUGUUUUUAUUCCUUACGGUUUUUAUUACCGAAUGCAAUGAUUGAUUGCUAAGGGCUAGUAUUAGACCUCCAAGAGGUCGAGUACGCAUGUUACGACUUGGGGGUGCUCUCGGGUCAUGACAAUAAGUUUUCAUUUUCCAUCACCGUUGGUACUAACAUAUCCUUCAUCAUUCAAAAUCAGGUGCAGACGAACAUCAAGAGCAUGUUUCACAUUGUUCAAAACUAGUUUAGUUUCAACACUAGUUUCCAAACAAAUUGUACCAAUACCAUCCACCUUAAAAAGAGUCUCAUUACCCAUACUCAAGGUUCAAAAUCACCAAGAGUAUAGGAAGAGAAAAAAUCCUUCCUUGAUGUCACGUGAAAUGCGGCAUCAGUGUCCACAACCCAACUUGACCCAUCACAAGCAAUAUUUAUCAUAUCCGCAUCAAAGACGAUAACAAGAUCUUUGGUGGUGACAGUGGCUAGGCAAUUUUCACUGUCAUCUUCUUUAGUUUCCUCUUUGUUUAUGUUCUCCCUCUUCAAUUUCCUGCAAAACUUCUUUGUGUGCCCUUUCAUGCCACAAUGAUAGCACUCAAUAUCCUUAAGUCUUCCUCUGGAUUUGCUCCUAUUUUGUUCCCUAUUUUGAGAACCACGAGUUUUGUUUCUCCCCCUGGAGCCAAUUAUCAGGACAUCUGACGAAGAAGAACCUUGAGGUUUUCUUCUCAUUUCUUCGUUCAAGACACUACUCUUGGUGGAAUCCAUAGAGAUCACACCAUUCGGAGGAGAAUUUGACAAUUUAGUUCUAAACGUUUCCCAAGAGUCUGGUAGGGAACCAAGUAGAAGCAAACCUUGAAUUUCUUCAUCAAAUUUGAUGCCUGUAGUAGAUAAUUGAUUCAUGAUUCCCUGAAAAUUAUUCAGAUGGUCUGUCAUCGGAGAACCAUCAUGAUACUUUAAACUCAACAUCUGCUUUAUUAAAAAUAUUUUGUUGUUGCCAAUCUUCCAAGCAUACAAACUUUCAACAUGCUCUUAUAGAGUUCGAGCAUGUGUCUUCCCAGAAAUAUGGUUCAACACAUUAUCGUCAACCCAUUGCCUAAUGAAUCCACAAACCUGCAUGUGCAACAUAUUUCACUCUUCAUCUGUUUUAUUAUCAGGUUUUACAGUGGUAAACAUUGGUUUGUAAAAAUUCUUGACAUGAAGCAGAAAUUUCCCCUUCCAAAUGUCAUAAUUAACACCAUUCAAAGUAACUAUUCUACUUGUGUUAGCUUCCAUUGUUUAUCCCCCAAAAAUAUAGUUAUUGCAAACCAAAGUAGAUAUUUUCUGAUGUGGAAGUUCAGACUGUGCUGCAACCACAGAUACUCAGAUAAAACCUUGACUCUAAUACCAGUUUGUUGGGAAAAUGCGGACUAAGACAAAAAUAUAUAUGGUCAAAUUAAUAGAAAUAAAAUGGGAAAAUAAUGACAACAAGAAUUUUAACGUGGAAACCCUUUUAAAUAAGGGAAAAGCCACAGGCCAAGAGGAACAACUGAUAUCACUAUAGUAAAGAAUUUUACACUGUAUAGUCACGAAUACAAUACUCAAAGUGACUACUACAUACUCAAAAGGAAUAACACUCUUUUGAUUUUCACCUUACUAAAAUAUCGCUCACAUUCUAGUUUUCUUCACAUACUAUUUUUCUUAUAUAGUCUAUGGAAUACCUCACUUUGCUCUCAAAUAUCCUUUUUUUCUCUCUAACUUGGUGUGUUUGAAAUGAGCAAGGGCUCUCUAUUUAUACGAGAAAUCUACUCCUAAUGAUGUCACUCAUGACAAUAUAAAAAACACCAAAGUUUCAACCUUUGCAACUAUGCAGAUUUCUUGGUAAGAUUUUAGUUGAAAAAGAAAUGGUGAGCUUUGGUUUGUUGCAGCAUUUGCUGACUUUAACAAUAAGCAACAAACAUUUCAACCUUUCCUACAUUUCAACUUUCCUUAUGUUUAUCUAUAAUGGGUAUGGAUCCUAUAUAUACAUCAGCCAUUGAAAUUGGGAAUUCUUAGUUUUGGAGAAAACUUAUCUCGUUUAGUCUGUUUCAAGUUCCCUUUUGGCUGUUUGAGUUGCUCGUGGUGGAGGGUAUGUCUUCGAUUUAUUGUUUUGAUGGGGAAAAUGCAGAGGAUAAUUAUAAGGAUGACACAAGGAGUGUAAAACAUGUUUAUUUAAAUGUUCGUGACUUUGUGUGGGGCAAGACAUGUUUAUUCAGUUUGUGAUCGUAGUGGCCAGGUCCCAGAAAGCUGAUUCUAAAAGGGUAUUAUUAUCUCAAUUUUUAGUUUGCUAUACGUUGAAUUUGUGUAUUAGCAAAAAAAAAUUUCUAGAUUUUGCUUUGACUGUCUAGUUUUCAAUUCAUAUUCGAUAUUUCUUUGUAUUCAUUGUUUAUGAUGUUUAAGCCUUUAUGCUUGUAAUCUUAGGUAGAAUUGUUAAUAUUAAUCCUUAAUCAAUUUAGCUUCAUGUAUGCUUAGAGAUUUUUGUAAGUAUUUAGCGUUUCUCAUUGAUAAAAUGCUUCACUGCUGCACAAUAGCACCUGCUUUAUCCUUUGUUACAACUCUUUUCCUCUUCUGUUCUAAUAUCUAAAAAUAUCUCUUUUAGGUGGAAGUUUGAUGUUUACUUGACUCAUAAUCAAAAGUUGUUUGUUUUGAUGAGAAUCUAUUUCAAUUUAUUUAAGGUUCACAAUUAUGUAAUUCCUAAAAAAUAUAAUUUUAUUCCAGUUUAAGUUUAGAUUUCAGAUUGAAGUUUGUCUUGAGUUCAUGGCUGUUUUAAAUCUUAUACUUGUCUAUGCUUUGGUUUAUCCACUCAUUCAUUCUAUCUUGCUAGCUUACUUCGAAAAAAAUCUGGAUGUGAUCUCGAGAUGUUGAAUCUAAGGCUAGAAAGUAGUUGUUCAUCUAAGUAAUCUGGCCAGCUGUGCAUUAAGAGUAAAUUAGUGAUAUAUUUUAUCAGCUCCUCUUUAAUUGCUUUGCUUACUUGCUAAAAGAAAUGCAUAUACAAAUGAUAAUCUGUGCUGUUUUUGAUUGUUUCCCUUCCUUCUAAUGGCUCCGUCACUUAGGUGUCUUUAGGUAGUUGUUCAUCAGGAUAUAUUUUAAUAGCAUAUUUGUUUCCAUACAGUGGCCUAUCUCUGCAUGUUUUUAUCUGUAUGAUAAGUUUUGUUUCCUCUUGGAUUGUGUCUAGUGAUAGAAUACUUACCUGUGUCAUUCAGCAUGUUUUUAACAUAUGUGUCAAUUACCUGUACAUAUUAAUAAAAUGUUGAAAAAUUGAGACGUGCUUGUCUAUCGUCAGAUCUCCCUUACUGUAUAUAAUUUUGAUGCCAAGAUUUUUAAAGACACUAUUUUCUCUUUUGCGAGUGUCGUCUUAGUCAUCUAUCUUGUGAGUAUUCUAAUAUGCUAGUAUAGUAGCUUUAAACUUUGUCCGGCUACCUAUCGUUUUGGGUAUAGAUUUAUAAUUUUUUUCUAUUGCUAUGAAUUCUCAUUUGCUACUGUUUUAGCCAGUCCCUUUAAAUAAUGUUUUGUGUUCUCACCAUUCUGUUUGCAUUUGACUACUUAUUACUCGUUUUGAAAUCUGUUGGAGUUAGAAAUUUAUAAAGAGUCCUGAAUGUGUGCUGGUUUGAUCUACUGUCAUCAGUUUUACCUUUGUUUUUCUCGUUUAAAUGAUUCCUUGCCGAUUUCCAACAAAUAGUUUGUUUUAUCCUAUCCAGUGAUUGAUUAACUAAGGCUUGAACUAUGAUUAAAUAGUAUGGUUUGUCUUAAAUCAAGUUCUCUUUCCUUUUAAAUGUUUGUCACAGUCUAAGGUUUUAAUCGAGGUGUAACUAUGAUAUGUUUCCGCUAAAAGGGCUAUAGUUGUAUGAAUACUUGGAGAUUAUGGCCUUAAUGUUUCCUCCUACUGUCCUCUAUUUGAAUAUGCCUGACCACCAGCUUGCUUGAAGUCAUCACUUUGUUCUAACUUUACCUUGUUAAAGGGUUGAUUAAGUGUCAAUCAAUUGUUGUGAAAAUUGAAAUCUUUGUUCCUUUGUUUGCUACUGUUAAGGUAUAUAACCUUUAUUUAUUUUGAGUUCUUUUGUUUCUUAUUAAUGAUAGGUUUUCUUCAUUGUUUUCUUUUUCCUCUACUUGAGUUUGAUAUACUUGAACCGAUGGUCUUUCGGAAACGACCUCUCUAUCUUCAUGAGGUAGUGG
rnacentral:lncRNA from 1 species